rnacentral:tRNA from 1 species
GCUGCGAUGGCCGAGUGGUAAGGCGUUGGACUCGAAAUCCAAUGGGAUAUUCCCGCGCAGCUUCGAAUCCUGUUCGCAGCG